UAGGAGCCCAAAAGGCUGAAGAUACAAACAUAUGGGAAUUUUGUGCUCAAGAUAUAGUAAAUCUUAGGAAAGGCACUACAUUUUUGCUGCAGGUCCUAAUAGAUAGGAACACAACUCUUCUUAAUAGUGAAGCCAUGUUCCAGGCGAUUGGUUAGGUCCCCUUCAUUUGGAGUUACAAGAUUUAGAGGUUUGCUAGUGUUUAGUCAUGUUCAUCUAAUGAGUAUGUCGGGGCUUUAUCUUUGCCAAAUAUAUUGCUCUAAGAGGCCUACAAACUUUGGGUUUUGUAGAUAUGUAUUGUCGGUUGUGUUGUCCUUGUUGUUUUGUCUUAUUUGCACAAUGGCCUGUUGACCUUAAUCACAUAUAAAUGUGUGUUCAGUUUAUAUA